ACGGGUGAGUAAUGCCUAGGAAUCUGCCUGGUAGUGGGGGACAACGUUUCGAAAGGAACGCUAAUACCGCAUACGUCCUACGGGAGAAAGCAGGGGACCUUCGGGCCUUGCGCUAUCAGAUGAGCCUAGGUCGGAUUAGCUAGUUGGUGGGGUAAUGGCUCACCAAGGCGACGAUCCGUAACUGGUCUGAGAGGAUGAUCAGUCACACUGGAACUGAGACACGGUCCAGACUCCUACGGGAGGCAGCAGUGGGGAAUAUUGGACAAUGGGCGAAAGCCUGAUCCAGCCAUGCCGCGUGUGUGAAGAAGGUCUUCGGAUUGUAAAGCACUUUAAGUUGGGAGGAAGGGCAGUAAGCGAAUACCUUGCUGUUUUGACGUUACCGACAGAAUAAGCACCGGCUAACUCUGUGCCAGCAGCCGCGGUAAUACAGAGGGUGCAAGCGUUAAUCGGAAUUACUGGGCGUAAAGCGCGCGUAGGUGGUUUGUUAAGUUGAAUGUGAAAGCCCCGGGCUCAACCUGGGAACUGCAUCCAAAACUGGCAAGCUAGAGUACGGUAGAGGGUGGUGGAAUUUCCUGUGUAGCGGUG
rnacentral:rRNA from 1 species